rnacentral:rRNA from 13 species
AGUUGAUCUGGUGACGUUUUGGAAUUUGUCAUUUGAAUCAGUUGGCAGGGCUCCCUCCUCUUCAGUAGGGACAUGUCUUAGCACACACAGAAGUGUGUGGAAACUCAGACACGUGGCCCCUACAGAGAACGCGGAAUGCGUCCCCUUAGAAUACAUUUCCCUUUUAUGAGCGUUGUUCAAACGCCUUGGCACCUUGAUUGGAGUAGGAUCUAUUGAUGGAGUCGCUUUUGGUCUCAUGAUCAUUCAGAAUGGCUAGUGGUUUUUAUUAUCAAGGUAUGGUGAAUGGGUCCAAAUCCUUUGCACAAGACGCAAUUGCCAUCUAUUUCCAGGAAAAAUUUUGAGG